rnacentral:rRNA from 1 species
AUUGAACGCUGGCGGCAGGCCUAACACAUGCCAGUCGAGCGGAUGAAGGGAGCUUGCUCCUGGAUUCAGCGGCGGACGGGUGAGUAAUGCCUAGGAAUCUGCCUGGUAGUGGGGGAUAACGUCCGGAAACGGGCGCUAAUACCGCAUACGUCCUGAGGGAGAAAGUGGGGGAUCUUCGGACCUCACGCUAUCAGAUGGGCCUAGGUCGGAUUAGCUAGUUGGUGGGGUAAAGGCCUACCAAGGCGACGAUCCGUAACUGGUCUGAGAGGAUGAUCAGUCAAAACGGAACUGGGGCACGGGCCAGACCCCCAAGGGAGGGCGCAGUGGGGAAUAUUGGACAAUGGGCGAAAGCCUGAUCCAGCCAUGCCGCGUGUGUGAAGAAGGUCUUCGGAUUGUAAAGCACUUUAAGUUGGGAGGAAGGGCAGUAAGUUAAUACCUUGCUGUUUUGACGUUACCAACAGAAUAAGCACCGGCUAACUUCGUG